UCUCUAUUAAUGUCUAGCACAGAACUUGGCACAGAGAAGAUGCUGAAUAAAGACAUGCUCCAUGAAAUUGAGAACUCUUUGCUAUGUUUAGGUCAUGAUGCCAGAAUGAAAAACAUUCAGAUGAUAGCCAAUCAAGAAUUUUCAUCCAAUGGCACAAAUCUGAACCACGCAUCUCAGCUGGCUUUGAAACAGAAAUUACCUUUAUUAAAGUCUGAACUGAAAGUCAAAACAAAAUGUGGUGGCAGAGUCUGAAAUUCAAGAGUACAAAAAGUCAAAAGCUAACCAGAACAUACAGUUUGACAAGAAAAUGGAGCAGAGGUCCAAAGAAUGUGCACAAAUAUUCAAGAAGCCUGAAAGGAGGGACCAGACAUUAUCAAGACAAGAAAAUGACCAGUAGAGAAAAUCUGGAGGCUUGAAAUAAACCUUUGCUUACUACAUUUUUUUUUUUUAGUUCCUGACAAUGUUCUCCAUUUUUCUAGCUUAGUGACUCUUUCCUUCCACAAUAUUCUCCAGACAGCUUCAACUCAUGACUUCAAAAUAAAGGUAACUAACUGUGUGGAGUGAGCAGCAUGGAAAGCCUUGAUUGGAAACAUCCUGUAUCUCCUCCCACUGCUUCCAAAUGCCUGCAUCAUUUGACUUUAUUCAUGGGAAAAGAGCAAGAUCUUUGAAAUAUAUGCUGACAUCAUCUGGGGGGAAUAUCCUGGGUUUGGAUAAUUUCUCAUCAUAACUCCAUUAUUCCCCUGAAGCAAGAAAAAGUGAAAUGUAUCAGGCACAACUAUUAUAAUUCUGAUUGCUGUUUAGUUCUGAUAAUCAAAAAGCUUUGAAAAUUUGGUAUCCCUUUUCCAUUAAUGUAAAUACACCAAGGUCACUGAAAGCCUGCCACAGCAU